rfam:Eubacterium brachy ATCC 33089 genomic scaffold Scaffold5, whole genome shotgun sequence.
UAAUGUAACAAGGGGAGCUGUAAGGCUGAGAGUUAGCGUUGAAAAUCGCUAAGACCCUUAAACCUGAUUUGGAUAAUGCCAACGUAGGAAUGUUAAAUGUGAGUGUG